rnacentral:rRNA from 1 species
GGGGAAUAUUGGACAAUGGGCGCAAGCCUGAUCCAGCCAUGCCGCGUGUGUGAUGAAGGCCUUAGGGUUGUAAAGCACUUUCGCCGAUGAAGAUAAUGACGGUAGUCGGAGAAGAAGCCCCGGCUAACUUCGUGCCAGCAGCCGCGGUAAUACGAAGGGGGCAAGCGUUGUUCGGAUUUACUGGGCGUAAAGCGUACGUAGGCGGAUAAUUAAGUCAGGGGUGAAAUCCCGGGGCUCAACCUCGGAACUGCCUUUGAUACUGGUUGUCUUGAGUCCGGGAGAGGUGAGUGGAACUCCUAGUGUAGAGGUGAAAUUCGUAGAUAUUAGGAAGAACACCAGUGGCGAAGGCGGCUCACUGGCCCGGAACUGACGCUGAUGUACGAAAGCGUGGGGAGCAAGC